rnacentral:lncRNA from 1 species
CAAUAGAUUAUAUUUACAAUCUACGAGUUUUAGGAUAUAAAUCUCAACAAACUAUAUAAGAAGCUUCAUCACCACCAAGAAAAGCAGGCUUGUAUGAGUCAUAAAGGUCUUAAUAGACCAAAACCUAGAGAGUUGGUGACAAUGAUUUUACCAUCAUCUGUGAAGUACUUCUUCAUCUUCUCCGAUCAAUCUGUGGAGUGAAAGCCCGUAGCCUAAGUGAGGAAGAUCUCAUUCCCAUCUUCUUGCCUAUCCUUUGCACGAGCUCCCUUGCAAUUUGAUAGAUUCUUCUUUUAUUCAUAAUCUUGCGUUAAGACAUUAAAAUUAUCGUAAAAUAGACAUGGAGGCUUAUGUAAAGUACAUUUCCAAAUAUUUAUGGAUUUUCAACAUAAUAUAUGUGUUUUGACACUUUUGUUAUACGUUUUGGCUUCAUUAUUCUACCUAAAAGGUCAUAAUAACUGAUAUUUCUACAAGUUAUCACUCGUCUUCAAGAUGAUGAGGAUGAUGCAACUCCGCCUCCUUCUCACCAAGAUGACGACGACGAGGCAACUUUGCAUCUGGCUCUCCAAGAUAAUCACAAUGGUGCAACUCUACCUCUGCCUCUUCAAGAUGAUGACAACGAUGCAACUUUGCCUCCACCUCUCCAAGAUAACGAUGAUGAUGCAACUCUACCCCUGCGCUCUCUAAGAUGAUGACGAGGAUGCAACUUUGCCUCUGCGUCUCCAAGAUGACGAUGAUGGUUCAACUCCUCCUCCCUCUUUCCAAGAUGAUGACAAUAUGGUGCGCUUUGUCUUCGCCUCUCCAAGAUGAUAACGAUGGUGCAACUCUACCUCUGUCUCCAAAAAAAAGAUGGUACAGUUCCGCCUCUUCAGAAUGAUGACAAAACAAAAAUGUUUGAUCAUUCAUAGUAGAAGUUGCAUCGUUGAUAGCAGAGUCAUCCCUACAAACGGUUGCAAAAAAGAAGAAGAAGAAAGAAAAAGGAUCUCACCUUUUGAGAAUAUGUUUUGAAGCAAAAAAAAAAAAAAAAAACGCGAAAAUUCUAGCUCUUGUAAAGAAAUAAAGAAGAAGGGGCAUAAAGUUAGAAAAAAGAAAAAGAAAAGGAAAAAAAUUAAAUUAAAAAAUAAAAAAAGAAGGAGAGAAUGUUUUUUCAUACCUCAAUUAUGCUUAACGAGGGAAGAAUGAUCGAGGUGUGCUAAAUAGAGGAGUUCUCUUCAUUUGUGGGGGCCAUAAAUUUUCUUCUACAUAAGGUUUAGAAAGAAUAUGAAAAUUGAAAUUCUUUUGAAGAUAAAAGCUUUAUUCCAAGAGUUUGUGUUAUGCUUCCUCAAACGAGAAUCAGUAAGAAUCUGACCAAAAGAGAAUCAGAGGAGGAUCAAAUAGUAGAGAUCGAACCACAUCGCAUAAAAUCAAGUUCAACUUCACAAAUUAAACUUCACAAAUUAAAUUUUUUUGGAAAUAUCGUGUGAAUAAUUGCAUUAUUUAAAAUUAGAAAUUUUGUCAAAUUUACUAUUACCGUUAUGGUUAACUUUACCUAAGAGGACCAAACCAUAACCAUAAUAGCAACAAUGAAUCUAAGCGUGUUAAAAUUCAUUGUUUUCUCUAAAACAUUAACAAUAAUGGUAGCCAUAAGCAUAAUAAACAUAAACAUAAUGGUAAUGAUAAUGAUAUGACAUAAUAUUUGGAUUUAACGAGAUUGAUCACCUCACUUGUGAAUUGGUUUAUGCUAUUUGUUUAUCAACUUGGACGUGAGGCCGUAUACAAAUGUAGAACACACAUAGAUAACAUCAAAUGAAAUUCCAUUUUCUAAGUUAGUAUUGAUUUAUUAGUGUGGAACAUGGAUAGCUUAAAACACAAUGUAAAUUAUACCAUAAAGAAUAAUUAAAAAAAGAAAGAAAGAAAAAACUAAAAUUGAAGUGCAUAAUUUGAGUGAUGUUUUUGUUUAUUUAGGAAUUUGUCAAUUUGAGAAAAGGAAAAGGAAAAGGAAAAGGAAAAGGAAAAGAGAAGAAAAAGUGCGGGGGGUGAUGGAACCAAAACUGGGUCGUCAUUUAGAGUGGUAAAAUAUUUAAUGCAAAGCCAAUUAAUGAAUCACUUGACUAUUGAGUGUAUUGACCUCCACUUUCGUGUUCAUCCCAAAUUUACCCCAUCUUAUUUGUCCCUCCAAAUUCCUAUCUUAUGGCGAUUCCCGCUCUUUCUCCUUCCCAAUCUCAUUCUGAAGAUCAAGAAGAAGAAGAUCCAAUCUCUCCUGUUCAAAACCCUAAUUCCAUGGACCACCAACAACCCGGACAAGCAGCGGAAGCACCAGUUGACGACCCCCAGAACCACUACCAUCCUCCUCAAUCUUCUGAAACCCUAACCCUAGAUUUACCCGAUCCCCAACAAAAUUCCCCACAACCUGACCCCCAAGAUUCAGAACUUCAACUCAAUGAAGAUUUCAUCAAUGAUCAUGAUCCUAGUGACCAAGGUGAGCCCACUGCUCUCUCUCCUCGACUCGCCGAUAUCAAUGCGCUUGUUUCUCCCUCCUCUGUUUCUCGACGGGGUCCCAAGCGGAAGAAGUCUUGGAUGAAACAGAGAUUCUUUCAGGAGAAAUCUCAAAAGAAGCUUGAGAUUCUGGUUUCUACUUUCAAACCUAUUCCUUUUGUGCCUGCUAAAACUCUUGAUUUCUCCAGUCACGAGAAGCUUUUGAAUCGAUUAGGCUUGUGGGAUUUUGUUCAUACUAAGUUUGAUACGCCUUUACGACAAGAUCUUCUUAUGCAAUUGGUUGCGAAUUUUAACAACAACAAGAGGUAUAGUUAUGUUAAUGGGAAUAGAAUUAUGGUCAAUCGGGCUGAUUUGGCUCGUGCGCUGCGGUUGCCAGUGAGGAGAGCGACGUUAGUGGACAAUGGUAAGAAAGAGCCUAUUGCAUCUGAGGAAUCGAUUGCUUUUAUUGAAGAUUUUGUGUCCAACUGGUUGCUCUUACAUGAAGAUACUUGGAUGAUGCCCAAUGAGAUAAUGCAUUGGACGAAGGUGAUCAAGGAUGGGAAAUUUGAGCGAGUUGAUUGGGCAGGUUUGAUUUGGUUUAUGGUGGAAAAGGAGUUGAUGCAAUCUCCGCAGUUGGUGAAUUGUUACUAUGCUUCACAUUUGCAGUGCCUGAUCCGAUCACAACGGGAAGAUUUAUUGAAGGAAGAAGCGCCUAAGGUAGAAGAUGUUGAACACGAGGAGAAGGUCGAGCAGGAACAGGAACAGGAGCAGGAGCAGGAGCAGGAGCAAGAACUGGAACAGGAGAGAGAACCGGAUGAUGAAGAUGGAGUUUGUAAUGAGAGUCCAAAGCUAGUUGGGAACAAUGACUCCAUGGUUAAGGAAUUGGAGGAACACAAUAUUGAAUUGUGCCUUGGGCAAGACAAUGUCGAGAAAGUUGAUCAUAAGGAGAAAGAUAGUCUUGGGGAUAUGAUGGAUUUAAUGGAAAACAAAGUAGAAGAAGAAGAUGAACAUGAACAAGAAGAACAAGGUCAGUGGCUUUUGGAUGCAAAAGGUAGAGCCCCAGAGCUUCUGUUCAGGAGGUGUAAUACAAAUGAAUUCAAGGAAUUUGAUUUUGGGGAUGAGAAGAAAGCUGAAUUAGAAGAAGGGGAUGGUCAAGGAAAAGAAGAAGAUGAGGAGGAGGAAGAGGAGGAGGAAGAGGAGGAGGAGGAGGAGGUGGAGGAAGAAGAGGAAGAAGAAGAGGAGGAGGAAGAAGAGUUUCGCCUGUUGCCAAGGAGUAAUGCCAUUGAUGGGUUUCCUCCUAGCCAAUUUAUUCAAGAAAUGACAGAGCCAAUUAACUUUAACUCAGAUUUUGACUUACCUGGUCAUUCUUCUGUUGAAUUUCUUCCACCUCCCAGAGAUGAUAACCGAAUGAGUUCUGGUGGAUGUAUACCUUUUGUUAGUAACAACAAGAGAGUGAUUGAUCCUGAUAUUGACAACCCAACUCAGUCUCUUAAUGGUGGGAACAAGAGGUUAAGGAGCGAAGGUCCUCUUGACUAUGAUAAGUGUAUGGAUAACGUACAACAGUGGCUUGAUAAAGCAAGGAUGAUGUACGCAGAGAAAGAACAGGUUCAUCAGCAGGCCACUAUGAAUCAGCAAUACUUGCUUCACGAGCUGCAGCAGAGAGAGACCUUUAUUGAACAUUUGAGAAAGACAAAGUAUGAGGAGCAACAGAAGAUGCAAUCUGAUAUUUACCGGCUUGAGCGCGAGCUCUAUGUUAUGGGAAAUCUAUUGGACGGCUACAGAAAGGCAUUGAGGGAAACAAACAAAACGUUUGCAGACUAUAGGACCCGAUGCCCACAAUCCGAUGAGCCACUCUACAAAGAUGUUGCUGGUUCU